UACGGGGGGGGCAAGCGUUGUUCGGAAUUACUGGGCGUAAAGGGCUCGUAGGCGGCCAACUAAGUCAGACGUGAAAUCCCUCGGCUUAACCGGGGAACUGCAUCUGAUACUGGAUGGCUUGAGUUCGGGAGAGGGAGUGCGGAAUUCCAGGUGUAGCGGUGAAAUGCGUAGAUAUCUGGAGGAACACCGGGUGGCGAAGGCGGCAUCCUGGACCGACACUGACGCUGAGGAGCGAAAGCCAGGGGAGCAAACGGGG
rnacentral:rRNA from 1 species